ACGCUCGACACCUACGGGAGGCAGCAGUGGGGAAUAUUGGGCAAUGGGCGCAAGCCUGACCCAGCAACGCCGCGUGAAGGAAGAAGGCUUUCGGGUUGUAAACUUCUUUUGUCAGGGAACAGUAGAAGAGGGUACCUGACGAAUAAGCCACGGCUAACUACGUGCCAGCAGCCACGGUAAUCUGAGCGGGCUGGCAAGGC
rnacentral:rRNA from 1 species